rnacentral:rRNA from 1 species
GACGAACGCUGGCGGCGUGCUUAACACAUGCAAGUCGAACGGAAAGGCCCCUUUGGGGGUACUCGAGUGGCGAACGGGUGAGUAACACGUGAGUAACCUGCCCUUGACUUCGGGAUAACUUCAGGAAACUGGGGCUAAUACCGGAUAGGAAUCCUUGCUGCAUGGUGGGGGUUGGAAAGCUUCGGCGGGUUUGGAUGGACUCGCGGCUUAUCAGCUUGUUGGUGGGGUGGUGGCUUACCAAGGCUUUGACGGGUAGCCGGCCUGGGAGGGCGACCGGCCACAUUGGGACUGAGAUACGGCCCAGACUCCUACGGGAGGCAGCAGUGGGGAAUAUUGCACAAUGGGCGGAAGCCCGAUGCAGCAACGCCGCGUGCGGGAUGACGGCCUUCGGGUUGUAAACCGCUUUCAGCAGGGGCGAAGCUUGUGGUGACGGUACCUGCAGAAGAAGCACCGGCUAACUACGUG